GGGAGUGUUAUGUCACACUCCGGAAAUUACGGAUCUGUCCGUCAUUAUGUCGAAUUUUAUUUUUGAUGUCUGCCACACGGCAAAGAUAAACAAACUUUUCUUUGGUAUUCAACCCUCCACAGGUUUUUUACCCUCUCUGGAGGUCUGCAAUAAAAGAUAGUAACUCAGG